rnacentral:rRNA from 1 species
UGGUAGCAAUACUAGGUUGAGCCAGUGGCGAACGGGUGCGUAACACGUGAGUCAUCUGCCCGAAAGUGGGGGAUAGCUCGCCGAAAGGCGAAUUAAUACCGCAUGUGAUUGCAAAAUUAAAGCCGGGGCAACCUGGCGUUUUCAGAGGAGCUCGCGGCCUAUCAGCUUGUUGGUAAGGUAACGGCUUACCAAGGCUUCGACGGGUAGCUGGUCUGAGAGGACGACCAGCCACACUGGAACUGAGACACGGUCCAGACACCUACGGGUGGCAGCAGUCGAGAAUUUUUCUCAAUGGGGGAAACCCUGAAGGAGCGACGCCGCGUGGAGGAUGAAGGCUUUCGGGUUGUAAACUCCUGUCAUUUGGGAACAAGACCUUACGUUAACUGCGUGGAGGUUUGAUAGUACCAGAAGAGGAAGAGACGGCUAACUCUGUGCCAGCAGCCGCGGUAAUACAGAGGCCUCGAGCGUUGUUCGGAUUCAUUGGGCGUAAAGGGCGCGUAGGCGGCGGGGUAAGUCGGGUGUGAAAUCUCGGAGCUUAACUCCGAAACUGCAUUCGAUACUGCGGUGCUUGAGGACUGGAGAGGAGACUGGAAUUCACGGUGUAGC